rnacentral:rRNA from 1 species
UACGUAGGGUGCAAGCGUUAAUCGGAAUUACUGGGCGUAAAGCGUGCGCAGGCGGUUAUGUAAGACAGAUGUGAAAUCCCCGGGCUCAACCUGGGAACUGCAUUUGUGACUGCAUAGCUAGAGUACGGCAGAGGGGGAUGGAAUUCCGCGUGUAGCAGUGAAAUGCGUAGAUAUGCGGAGGAACACCGAUGGCGAAGGCAAUCCCCUGGGCCUGUACUGACGCUCAUGCACGAAAGCGUGGGGAGCAAACAGGAUUAGAUACCCUGGUAGUCCACGCCCUAAACGAUGUCAACUGGUUGUUGGGAAUUCACUUUCUCAGUAACGAAGCUAACGCGUGAAGUUGACCGCCUGGGGAGUACGGCCGCAAGGUUGAA